rnacentral:rRNA from 1 species
UACAGAGGUCUCAAGCGUUGUUCGGAUUCAUUGGGCGUAAAGGGGUGCGUAGGUGGCGCCGUAAGUCGGGUGUGAAAUUUCGGAGCUUAACUCCGAAACUGCAUUCGAUACUGCGGUGCUUGAGGACUGGAGAGGAGACUGGAAUUCAUGGUGUAGCAGUGAAAUGCGUAGAGAUCAUGAGGAAGACCAGUGGCGAAGGCGGGUCUCUGGACAGUUCCUGACACUGAGGCACGAAGGCCAGGGGAGCAAACGGG